AGAGUUUGAUCCUGGCUCAGAACGAACGCUGGCGGCGUGCUUAACACAUGCAAGUCGAGUGCGCGGUUGUAGCAAUACAACUGGCGCACGGCGCACGGGUGCGUAACACGUGGGUAACCUGCCCUUUGGUGGGGAAUAACUCCGCGAAAGCGGAGCUAAUUCCGCAUAAGAUCCGCAAGGAUGAAAGCCGCAAGGCGCCGAAGGAGGGGCCCGCGCCCGAUUAGCUAGUUGGUGAGGUAAUGGCUCACCAAGGCUUUGAUCGGUAGCUGGUCUGAGAGGAUGAUCAGCCACACUGGAACUGAGACACGGUCCAGACUCCUACGGGAGGCAGCAGUGGGGAAUCUUGCACAAUGGGCGAAAGCCUGAUGCAGCGACGCCGCGUGGGGGAUGAAGCAUUUCGGUGUGUAAACCCCUUUCGAUCCGGACGAGA
rnacentral:rRNA from 1 species